GACGAACGCUGGCGGCGUGCCUAAUACAUGCAAGUCGAACGCUGAAGAGAUGAUCUUGCUCUUCUUGGGUGAGUUGCAAACGUGUGAGUAACGCGUAUGUAACCUGCCUUGUAGCGGGGGAUAACUAUUGGAAACGAUAUCUAAUACCGCAUAACAAUCGGUUACACAUGUCGUUUAUUUGAAAUUGGCAAUUGCUCCACUACAAGCUGGACCUGCGUUGGAUUAGCGAGUAGGUGAGGUAAUGGCCCACCUAGGCGACGAUACAUAGCCGACCGGCGAGGGCGGGCGGCCAGACUGGGACUGAGACACGGCCCAGAGUCCUACGGGAGGCAGCAGUAGGGAAACGUCGGCAAGGGGGGCGAACUUGAGCGCGCAAGGCCGAGUGAGUGAAGAAGGAUUUCGGAUCGGAAAGCACGGUUGUAAGGCAAGAAAGGGCGUGAGCGUGGAACGUUCACAGUGUGACGGUAGCUUACAAGAAAGGGACGGCUAACUACGUG
rnacentral:rRNA from 1 species